CUCUGGGCUAUGAGAUAUGAGUAGAAACAACACGUCACCUCCAGGCUGAAGCAUUUCCAGGCUGGUGUGCACUGCAAACAACAACAACAUCCACCAUGGCCCACACAGUCUGCCAUCACGGCUGUCUCUACCAGAGGUGUGCAUCACAGUGUCACAAUGCCUGUUCUUUCACAGAGAUGAUGGUGCUGGAGAGAUGGUUCAUUUUGACCGAGGCCCGUCUGGUGGUUCGUUGCUGUGAUGUAUUUCGGCAUCAUCGACGCAGGUUCACCAGCCUCAUCUCGACCUUGGAAAUGUUGCGGUAUUUUACAGUGUGUGGUGACAUUUAUGGGCCCAUUUGGACACCCACAAAGAGGUUGAUUUCCAUAGAUUAAAUGUCAAGUUUGAAGCCAUCCAGGGUAAUUGAAUCCUUGAAUGUUGUCCACUUCGAUUCUCAGCUGGGGCCGUUGACUGGACAUUUGUGCUCUGUUACAAACUCUUGAGUGCAGCCCAAAUUGCUUAAUGCCAAAAGGUCACUCUGUGAGUCCAGGGGGAGGGUGUCGGUAGGGAGGACCAUGGCACUGGAGUUUGAUACCUGCAGAAAUGUUGCCUUGUUUUUAUUUCUUUAAAUGAAAGCACAUAUGUGGUUAGUUGGUGAAUACAUUACCGGGGACAGAAGAAAAAAAACCCCACCAACUAAGACUUCCUAGAUGUCAGUUAGUUUAAAAUAUCUAACCAUCUAUGUUUUGUCAAGAGCAAAAGGCUAAAAAGAACUUCACUGUAAUGUUUUAAGUAGGAAUAGUUUUAAACGGCAUUAAACACAUAUACAUAAACUUGGCAUGAGCGUCAUUUAAAUUGAAGGGUAGCAAAAAAGCAUCAAAUAAUUUCUGAGAUAUUGAAACGUAUUCACCUGCUGAUUGUCCAGAGAACAUGUGUGUCUUCAGACUUUGGAUCUGAGUGUCUUGAAUUUUUGUCCUCACAAGGAACUGGAGUUAAAUGGAUCCAAUACGGGUACACCCACACCCAUUUCCUCCACUGGUACGCUGUGGCCAGGAGGCGCGGGCCAGCCUCAGAGGCCUUCCUCACUGGGAUUUCUGGCUUUCUGCAGGUUCAGCUGUCCACACGGUGGCAUGGCUUUCUCAGCUCCA
rnacentral:lncRNA from 1 species